rnacentral:lncRNA from 1 species
CGCAGGCGUGCCGGCGCGGUGACGCAACCGGCGUGCCACCGAGGGGGCGGGGCCAGUCACUGCAGCUACAGCGCGUGAAAGAGAGCGAGAGAGGGAGGGAGAGAGGGAGAGCAGUUAACUGACGCCCGCAUUACAACAGUUGUCUGGCUUCAAAAUGGAUAUUUAACAACAACAACACAAACCGACUGUGAAGAAGAGGCUGCUCUCACCAGAUUCCCUGUCCUUUCUGGACGCCUGUCUUCACUGGCCUGGAUCAGCUGUCCCUCCCGUCCCCCCCGGCCCAGCAGCAGACAAGAGGCGAGCCACUUUGUAGAGCAGCCGUGGAUCUGUGCAGAAAGAGGGGCGCGUCACAUGGGAGUGUGUGACUGUAUGUGUGUGUGAGUUUGUCUGUGUAUGUGUGUGUGAGUGUGUGUGUGUGUGUGUGUGUGUGUGUGUGUGUGUGUGUGUGUGGGUGUGGGUGUGCUCAGGCCUCCUGCCGUGG